GUGAGGGGCUUCUUGGAGAGACGAGUACGAGGCUUGUGAUGAUUUUUCUAUGGUUUUGCAGACAUCACAAAAUGGCUGCAAAAAAAUUCUUCAAAAGGAACCUUUAUCAUCUCUACCGCAUGAGUUUGAAAACGAAAUUAUGAAAG